UCAUGUGUCAGGUAUUUAGAGUAGAUAAUUGAUGACAUGAAGAUGACAUGAAGCUUCCACAUUAUGGAUCCAAAUUUAGCAGCUGGUGUAGAGGGGAAGCAUCACAGUCAAGGCCACCAGUGAUCCUAUCCUACAAAUGCAGUAUGGGAUCUUUUUCUUCCCGUUUGUUGGAACUUUGCACCAUUGCAGCUCGUGGCCGUAUUUGUUUCGACACGGACUUUUGUAUAAUAUUUGGUAGAAUGUUGUGAUAAUUAGAUAGGAUUUUAGAUUCAGGAUUCCUUGGUGUUAUACAAAGAUAUUCUGUAAUUCCAACUUCUUGAAGUCAUUAUUGGUUCACAUGAAAUCUCAUUCUAUGUUGUGGUAUCCUGAGUCUGGCAUUGGGUUGUUAAAACGUAAUAACCAUAGGGAGAUGUUACUUUGUUUUCAAUCAAGCGAGUUCAUCUUUUGCUCUGCUUUUGUCCCCAUGGGUUUUGUAAUAUGAUAUCCUGAGCAUCUUAGGAGUGAUCGAGCAAAAGCGAACGUGUUUCUGUGGCUAUUAGGCGGUUUAUAGUCGAGAUUAAUACAAUUGUACAGCCAAGGGUUUUAUUUUUUCC